GAUGAACGCUGGCGGCGUGCCUAAUACAUGCAAGUCGAGCGAACGGACGAGAAGCUUGCUUCUCUGAUGUUAGCGGCGGACGGGUGAGUAACACGUGGAUAACCUACCUAUAAGACUGGGAUAACUUCGGGAAACCGGAGCUAAUACCGGAUAAUAUUUUGAACCGCAUGGUUCAAAAGUGAAAGACGGUCUUGCUGUCACUUAUAGAUGGAUCCGCGCUGCAUUAGCUAGUUGGUAAGGUAACGGCUUACCAAGGCAACGAUGCAUAGCCGACCUGAGAGGGUGAUCGGCCACACUGGAACUGAGACACGGUCCAGACUCCUACGGGAGGCAGCAGUAGGGAAUCUUCCGCAAUGGGCGAAAGCCUGACGGAGCAACGCCGCGUGAGUGAUGAAGGUCUUCGGAUCGUAAAACUCUGUUAUUAGGGAAGAACAUAUGUGUAAGUAACUGUGCACAUCUUGACGGUACCUAAUCAGAAAGCCACGGCUAACUACGUGCCAGCAGCCGCGGUAAUACGUAGGUGGCAAGCGUUAUCCGGAAUUAUUGGGCGUAAAGCGCGCGUAGGCGGUUUUUUAAGUCUGAUGUGAAAGCCCACGGCUCAACCGUGGAGGGUCAUUGGAAACUGGAAAACUUGAGUGCAGAAGAGGAAAGUGGAAUUCCAUGUGUAGCGGUGAAAUGCGCAGAGAUAUGGAGGAACACCAGUGGCGAAGGCGACUUUCUGGUCUGUAACUGACGCUGAUGUGCGAAAGCGUGGGGAUCAAACAGGAUUAGAUACCCUGGUAGUCCACGCCGUAAACGAUGAGUGCUAAGUGUUAGGGGGUUUCCGCCCCUUAGUGCUGCAGCUAACGCAUUAAGCACUCCGCCUGGGGAGUACGACCGCAAGGUUGAAACUCAAAGGAAUUGACGGGGACCCGCACAAGCGGUGGAGCAUGUGGUUUAAUUCGAAGCAACGCGAAGAACCUUACCAAAUCUUGACAUCCUUUGACAACUCUAGAGAUAGAGCUUUCCCCUUCGGGGGACAAAGUGACAGGUGGUGCAUGGUUGCCGUCAGCUCGUGUCGUGAGAUGUUGGGUUAAGUCCCGCAACGAGCGCAACCCUUAAGCUUAGUUGCCAUCAUUAAGUUGGGCACUCUAAGUUGACUGCCGGUGACAAACCGGAGGAAGGUGGGGAUGACGUCAAAUCAUCAUGCCCCUUAUGAUUUGGGCUACACACGUGCUACAAUGGACAAUACAAAGGGCAGCGAAACCGCGAGGUCAAGCAAAUCCCAUAAAGUUGUUCUCAGUUCGGAUUGUAGUCUGCAACUCGACUACAUGAAGCUGGAAUCGCUAGUAAUCGUAGAUCAGCAUGCUACGGUGAAUACGUUCCCGGGUCU
rnacentral:rRNA from 1 species